UCAAGAGCUCUCAAUCUCAUAGAAGAGAUAAGAGGUGAACAUAAACAUUAUCCCAAUGUUCUGUAGUAGUUGAGACAAGAAAGUGACCUUCCUGGUGGGUGGGGUGGACCAGAGAAGAAUUCAUGGAAGAGGUGGCAUUUGAUUAGGGUUAGUUGGAUAAUUAUCCCAUACUGCUCAUUGUCUUCUCUUCUGACCCCCUUAACCACCUUCUGAAACUGGUGCUGGUGCAUCCUUGACCCAAUUCUGAUAUUCUUGCUUGAUGUUGCCUGCUUGGUGUUGGUUGUCCAUAUGCCUGGCAGGGCGUGCUGAUGCCCAGCUGUGUCCAUGCCAGGAUUCCAGAGGAGAACCAGCCACCCAGCAAGCAGGUGAAGCCACUCUUCCGCCACUUCCGCCGGAUAGACUCCUGUCUGCAGACACGGGUGGCCUUCCGGGGCUCUGAUGAGAUCUUCUGCCGUGUAUACAUGCCUGACCACUCUUAUGUGACCAUACGCAGCCGCCUUUCAGCAUCUGUGCAGGACAUUCUGGGCUCUGUGACGGAGAAACUUCAAUAUUCAGAGGAGCCCGCGGGGCGUGAGGAUUCCCUCAUCCUGGUAGCUGUGUCCUCCUCGGGAGAGAAGGUCCUUCUCCAGCCCACUGAGGACUGUGUUUUCACCGCACUGGGCAUCAACAGCCACCUGUUUGCCUGUACUCGGGACAGCUAUGAGGCUCUGGUGCCUCUCCCCGAGGAGAUCCAGGUCUCUCCUGGAGACACAGAGAUCCACCGAGUGGAGCCUGAGGACGUUGCCAACCACCUAACUGCCUUCCACUGGGAGCUGUUCCGAUGUGUGCACGAGCUGGAGUUCGUGGACUACGUGUUCCACGGGGAGCGCGGCCGCCGGGAGACGGCCAACUUGGAGCUGCUGCUGCAGCGCUGCAGCGAGGUCACGCACUGGGUGGCCACCGAAGUGCUGCUCUGCGAGGCCCCGGGCAAGCGCGCGCAGCUGCUCAAGAAGUUCAUCAAGAUCGCGGCCCUGUGAGUGCGGCACUCGGCGGGAUGGGGGGCCCGAGGCCCGCGCCGCCGCCCGCCCCUGACCCCGCCUCCCACCCCCGCAGCUGCAAGCAGAACCAGGACCUGCUGUCUUUCUACGCCGUGGUCAUGGGGCUGGACAACGCAGCUGUCAGCCGCCUUCGACUCACCUGGGAGAAGCUGCCAGGGAAAUUCAAGAACUUGUUCCGCAAAUUUGAGAACCUGACGGACCCCUGCAGGAACCACAAAAGCUACCGAGAAGUGAUCUCCAAAAUGAAGCCCCCUGUGAUUCCCUUCGUGCCUCUGAUCCUCAAAGACCUGACUUUCCUGCACGAAGGGAGUAAGACCCUUGUAGAUGGUUUGGUGAACAUCGAGAAGCUGCAUUCAGUGGCCGAAAAAGUGAGGACAAUCCGCAAAUACCGGAGCCGGCCCCUUUGCCUGGACAUGGAGGCAUCCCCCCAUCACCUGCAGACCAAGGCCUACGUGCGCCAGUUUCAGGUCAUCGACAACCAGAACCUCCUCUUUGAGCUCUCCUACAAGCUGGAGGCGAACAGUCAGUGAGAGUGGAGGCUCCAGUCAGACCCGCCAGAUCCUUGGGCACCUG
rnacentral:sRNA from 1 species